AAUUCUCAACUCCUUUUGAUUUCGUUAUCGAAAGAAGCUUGGAUAGUGGGUUUGCUGGUGUCACCAUCAGCUUUCCUUAAAUGCAUUGGCAAAGGCGAUGGCACGAUAACGUCUUUCGGUGUGAUAAUGAUCGCCGUGGAUGGAAGUGUCCUUGUUCUCCUAUGCCUAUAACCCGUGUCGUUUGUUGCUUCAUUGCGAUGAAUACACUCUGAACC
rnacentral:misc_RNA from 1 species